rnacentral:rRNA from 1 species
CAGUCGCCGCGGGAAUACGUAGGGGGCAAGCGUUAUCCGGAUUUACUGGGUGUAAAGGGAGCGCAGACGGCAGUGCAAGUCUGAUGUGAAAUCCCGGGGCUCAACCCCGGAACUGCAUUGGAAACUGCGCAGCUCGAGUAUCGGAGAGGUAAGCGGAAUUCCUAGUGUAGCGGUGAAAUGCGUAGAUAUUAGGAGGAACACCGGCGGCGAAGGCGGCUUACUGGACGAAGACUGACGUUGAGGCUCGAAAGCGUGGGGAGCAAACAGGAUUAGAUACCCGCGUAGUCCCUGUCUCUUAUAC